rnacentral:rRNA from 1 species
AAAGCCGGUCUCAGUUCGGAUCGGGGUCUGCAACUCGACCCCGUGAAGUCGGAGUCGCUAGUAAUCGCAGAUCAGCAACGCUGCGGUGAAUACGUUCCCGGGCCUUGUACACACCGCCCGUCACGUCAUGAAAGUCGGUAACACCCGAAGCCAGUGGCCUAACCCUCGGGAGGGAGCUGUCGAAGGUGGGAUCGGCGAUUGGGACUAAGUCGUAACAAGGUAGCCGUACCGGAAG